UGGGGAAUAUUGCACAAUGGGGGAAACCCUGAUGCAGCGACGCCGCGUGAGCGAUGAAGGCCUUCGAGUCGUAAAGCUCUGUUCUAUGGGAAGAUAAUGACGGUACCAUAGAAGAAAGCCCCGGCUAAUUACGUGCCAACAGCCGCGGUAAUACGUAAGGGGCGAGCGUUGUCCGGAAUUAUUGGGCGUAAAGGGUACGUAGGCGGUCUAUUAAGUCAGGUGUGAAAGCGUGAGGCUUAACCUCAUUAAGCACUUGAAACUGAUAGACUUGAGUGAAGGAGAGGAAAGUGGAAUUCCUAGUGUAGCGGUGAAAUGCGUAGAUAUUAGGAGGAAUACCGGUGGCGAAGGCGACUUUCUGGACUUUUACUGACGCUCAGGUACGAAAGCGUGGGGAGCAAACAGG
rnacentral:rRNA from 1 species